ACGAACGCUGGCGGCGUGCUUCAUACGAUGCAAGUCGAACGUGAAGCUGACUUCGGUCAGUGGAAAGUGGCGGACGGGUGAGUAAUAUGUAGAGAAUCUGCCCUUGAGUGGGGGACAACAGAGGGAAACUUCUGUUAAUACCCCAUAUGAGCUUAGUUGAAAUACUAAUCUUGAAAACUCCGGUGCUCAAGGAUGAGUCUGCAUCUGAUUAGCUUGUUGGCGGUGUAAUGGACCACCAAGGCGACGAUCAGUAGCUGGUUUGAGAGGAUGAUCAGCCACAAUGGGACUGAGACACGGCCCAUACUCCUACGGGAGGCAGCAGUAGGGAAUUUUGCGCAAUGGGCGAAAGCCUGACGCAAGCAACGCCGCGUGAACGAUUAAGCCCUUCGGGGUGUAAAGUUCUGUCAGCAGGGACGAAUCUUGACGGUACCUGCAGAGGAAGCACCGGCUAACUCCGUGCCAGCAGCUGC
rnacentral:rRNA from 1 species